rfam:Glossina palpalis gambiensis isolate 146720 unplaced genomic scaffold Scaffold378, whole genome shotgun sequence.
GCUCUUUUAGCUCAGUGGUAGAGCACUGGUCUCGUAAACCAGGGGUCGUGAGUUCAAACCUCACAAAGAGCA